CAGACAGGCUGCCCUAGAACACUUCUCAUGACUGCAGCUGCUACGGUGUGUGAAGACCUGAAAAAUGAAGUCAUUUCAGUUUCUCAGCUGGAAAGGACAGAAUUACUAAGCGUUGGAUGUGGUUUGACCCUACCAAAACUGGUGCUGAAUUGAUCUGAAAUGCCGUGGUGUUGGGAGACAUCCAUGACGUUACACUACCUUUCGUCCUUGUGGUGGGUUCUUCGAUGGUUCUUAACUGUUACCUCCCAGGACUCACUGAGAAGGAGUGGGAUUGCAGGCAUGACCCACCGAGAUACAACUU